GUAGCAAUGAAGACGAGAGUUGAGAGAAGAGAGGCAGCUAAGAGAGAGGGAAGCCAUGUGAGGUUGUGAGUGAGAUUUAACCAUUGUGAUAUCUCCUUCUUCCUCACCAUACCUUUAUGGAUUGCUAACACCACCCUCCUUCUCCUUUGUGGGGUUAGAGAGAAAGAGAGCAGUCCAAAGUGAAGACGAAAAUCUUGGAUCGAGUCGAGGUAAACUAGUGUUCGUUUAAUUGUUUUUUGAGCUCGGAAUCAAGAUUUAUUAAGGGAUUUCCGCUACAUGCCUUCUAAUACUGUUCUAGGAGUUUAAUGACCUUGGUACAAUUUUAAUUAAUUGGCUAUUUUGUUAAAUGCUUCUAUAAACUAGCAGUCCCCAACAAAAAUUGGAUGACCAUUUUUUUUUUUUUUUUAAAAUCGAAAUUACUAUAUAUAGAAUUUUUAGUCAAUUUUUUAUUAUUUCACGUUAUACGUACACGAAUUAACAAAUCAUAAUCAUAUUUUAUUGUUCUUGGUAACUCAUACAUGUGUUGUUAGGGAUGCAUGAUUUUCAGGCCUUGAAAUAGAAUUAAUAAGAUUAAAAGAUAAUUUCUAUAUUAAUUCUUAGAAACGAUAAAUAGCUAAAGUUGAGAAGAAACGAC
rnacentral:lncRNA from 1 species